UACGUAGGGUGCGAGCGUUGUCCGGAAUUAUUGGGCGUAAAGGGCUCGUAGGCGGUUUGUCGCGUCGGGAGUGAAAACACACAGCUUAACUGUGUGCUUGCUUCCGAUACGGGCAGACUAGAGGUAUGCAGGGGAGAACGGAAUUCCUGGUGUAGCGGUGAAAUGCGCAGAUAUCGGGAGGAACAUCAGUGGCGAAGGCGGCCUUCUGGUCCAGUACUGACACUCAAGUGCGAAAGCGUGGGGAGCAAACAGG
rnacentral:rRNA from 1 species